CGGUGAUGACACCAACAUGCCAUCUGAGUGCCUGUGCUGAAAACCAGAGGGGGGAGAAA
rnacentral:snoRNA from 1 species